CUCCAGGACCCAGCUGGUUUCUGCACGGACCACAUUGGUCAUCAUGAGUGAAGUCUUGAGCCACUGAGCCACUACCACCUUGUGCCAAAUACUAUCUGUGCCCUGCCUGCCAACCAGGAUGACAACCCUUCACCUGCCAGGUGGAGAGAGACAGCAGCAGGCUAACUAGUUGUCUGUUAAGAACAUCCAGAGCAGGACCAGAAUCUGGGCCAGGAACUGAGAGACAGAUUGGGACAACGGAACAAAUCUACCAGGGAGCUCUGGAGGGAAGCAUUAGAUAUGGCUCUUAACCUCAGGGGGCUUACAGUCCAAUCAGGAGACCCAAUGCAAAUGGAACAAUGAAUCAAGAUACUAUCUAACAGGACUAGACCAUGCCACCCAGUCAUUGGAACUUGGAUGUAAGUGGCUUCUACAACCAAGUGAGGCAGAGAAAUGGGCAGCAGUGAUGACUCUAUAAAGACUUUUGUCCUUUCAUUCAUUCAAGGUGGUGUACAACCCAAAGAUGAACACAUGACCCUUGUCCUCAAGCAGCUCAAUCUGUGAAAACUAUCAUAUGAGUUAAUGUGGUAACAGAAGCAUGCGCACAAAGUACUCUGGAACAACAGGCAGGGACCAUUUAGACCUGCUGCAGUGUGUGUGUCUGUGUCUGUUUAUCUAUGUAUUAUAUGCAGGCAGAUUGUGAAAAAAGACAAGUUUCACAGAGGAGAUGAUACAUGAUCUUUUCUAAUUCACUGAAGCAUACAGCUAUCAAAGGCCUGAGGACUCUUGAAAGAUGAGCAAAAUUUCAUCAUGCAGAGAAGGGAAGUGUAAAGACAGGAAACAGCAUGUGAAAGGCAUUCUAUUCUAUUUAAAUCUAGGAAUACUGUCUUUAGGAUGUUCUUGGCUGAUUAAAUCAGAUGCAUCAUCAUAUUAUACUAUCAUGAUUUACCAAUACUGGUUAUUGCCUAGAUUUUAUCCAUGGACUCUCCAUUGGCAUCAUUAGUGAUGAGAGCUGGAAGCUUGAGCACACCCUGCCAUAAAGUUGUUUGUAACA
ensembl:lncRNA novel transcript, antisense to NAB1